rnacentral:rRNA from 1 species
GACGAACGCUGGCGGCGUGCUUAACACAUGCAAGUCGAACGGAAAGGCCUGCUUUCCCUUGUGGAUUGCGGGUACUCGAGUGGCGAACGGGUGAGUAACACGUGAGUGAUCUGCCCCCAACUUGGGUAUAAGCCUGGGAAACUGGGUCUAAUUCCCGAUAGGACUGCAGGGUGGGGCCUGUGGUGGAAAACGAUUUUCUAGUGGUUGGGGAUGAGCUCGCGGCCUAUCAGCUUGUUGGUGGGGUAAUGGCCUACCAAGGCGGCGACGGGUAGCCGGCCUGGGAGGGUGGACGGCCACAUUGGGACUGGGAUACGGCCCAGACUCCUACGGGAGGCAGCAGUGGGGAAUAUUGCACAAUGGGCGGAAGCCUGAUGCAGCGACGCCGCGUGGGGGAUGACGGCCUUCGGGUUGUAAACUCCUUUCGACCGCGAGGAAGCCACCUGGUUGGAAGGGUGGUGACGGUAGUGGUAGAAGAAGCACCGGCUAACUACGUG